rfam:Oceanobacillus iheyensis HTE831 DNA, complete genome.
UAAAAAGAAUACGUUAUACCGUAGACAGCGGGGGCUUUAUAGCUUAAUAAUCCUGCCGAGGUGUUUAUGAUGAAGGUAGUUUCGCGUUAAAAGCAUUGCUAUCUGCCAUAUAUAAGCUCUCAUGUCUACAUGGGAGCUUUUUACAUUUCUUA